rnacentral:rRNA from 1 species
GUAGCGGUGAAAUGCUUAGAUAUCACGAAGAACUCCGAUUGCGAAGGCAGCACACUAAGCCGUAACUGACGUUCAUGCUCGAAAGUGUGGGUAUCAAACAGGAUUAGAUACCCUGGUAGUCCACACGGUAAACGAUGGAUACUCGCUGUUGGCGAUAUACUGUCAGCGGCUUAGCGAAAGCGUUAAGUAUCCCACCUGGGGAGUACGCCGGCAACGGUGAAACUCAAAGGAAUUGACGGGGGCCCGCACAAGCGGAGGAACAUGUGGUUUAAUUCGAUGAUACGCGAGGAACCUUACCCGGGCUUAAAUUGCAAAGGAAUUGCGUGGAAACAUGCAAGUCUUCGGACCUUUGUGAAGGUGCUGCAUGGUUGUCGUCAGCUCGUGCCGUGAGGUGUCGGCUUAAGUGCCAUAACGAGCGCAACCCUCGCCGCCAGUUACUAACAGUUAAAGCUGAGGACUCUGGCGGGACUGCCAUCGUAAGAUGUGAGGAAGGUGGGGAUGACGUCAAAUCAGCACGGCCCUUACGUCCGGGGCUACACACGUGUUACAAUGGGCGGUACAGAAGGCAGCUACCUGGCGACAGGAUGCCAAUCCCUAAAGCCGCUCUCAGUUCGGACUGGAGUCUGCAACCCGACUCCACGAAGCUGGAUUCGCUAGUAAUCGCGCAUCAGCCACGGCGCGGUGAAUACGUUCCCGGGCCUUGUACACACCGCCCGUCAAGCCAUG